ACAUGCAAGUCGAGGGGUAUAGGUUUUCGGGACGUAGAGACCGGCGCACGGGUGCGUAACGCGUAUGCAAUCUACCUUUCACAGAGGGAUAGCCCAGAGAAAUUUGGAUUAAUACCUCAUAGUAUAGUUGAAUCGCAUGGUUUAACUAUUAAAGUCACAACGGUGAAAGAUGAGCAUGCGUCCCAUUAGCUAGUUGGUAAGGUAACGGCUUACCAAGGCUACGAUGGGUAGGGGUCCUGAGAGGGAGAUCCCCCAACUGGUACUGAGACACGGACCAAACUCAAACGGGAGGCACCAGUGAGAAAAUAUUGGACAAUGGGCCCAACCCUGAUCCACCCAUGCCGCGUGCAGGAUGACGGUCCUAUGGAUUGUAAAGUGCUUUUGUACGANAAGAAACACUCCUUCGUGAAGGAGCUUGACGGUAUCGUAAGAAUAAGGAUCGGCUAACUCCGUGCCAGCAGCCGCGGUAAUACGGAGGAUCCAAGCGUUAUCCGGAAUCAUUGGGUUUAAGGGUCCGUAGGCGGCCUUAUAAGUCAGUGGUGAAAUCUCCCCGCUCAACGGGGAAACGGCCAUUGAUACUGUAGGGCUUGAAUUAUUAGGAAGUAACUAGAAUAUGUAGUGUAGCGGUGAAAUGCUUAGAGAUUACAUGGAAUACCAAUUGCGAAGGCAGGUUACUACUAAUAUAUUGACGCUCNUGGACGAAAG
rnacentral:rRNA from 1 species